AGAGUUUGAUCCUGGCUCAGGAUGAACGCUAGCUACAGGCUUAACACAUGCAAGUCGAGGGGCAGCAUGGUCUUAGCUUGCUAAGGCCGAUGGCGACCGGCGCACGGGUGAGUAACACGUAUCCAACCUGCCGUCUACUCUUGGACAGCCUUCUGAAAGGAAGAUUAAUACAAGAUGGCAUCAUGAGUCCGCAUGUUCACAUGAUUAAAGGUAUUCCGGUAGACGAUGGGGAUGCGUUCCAUUAGAUAGUAGGCGGGGUAACGGCCCACCUAGUCUUCGAUGGAUAGGGGUUCUGAGAGGAAGGUCCCCCACAUUGGAACUGAGACACGGUCCAAACUCCUACGGGAGGCAGCAGUGAGGAAUAUUGGUCAAUGGGCGAGAGCCUGAACCAGCCAAGUAGCGUGAAGGAUGACUGCCCUAUGGGUUGUAAACUUCUUUUAUAAAGGAAUAAAGUCGGGUAUGGAUACCCGUUUGCAUGUACUUUAUGAAUAAGGAUCGGCUAACUCCGUGCCAGCAGCCGCGGUAAUACGGAGGAUCCGAGCGUUAUCCGGAUUUAUUGGGUUUAAAGGGAGCGUAGAUGGAUGUUUAAGUCAGUUGUGAAAGUUUGCGGCUCAACCGUAAAAUUGCAGUUGAUACUGGAUAUCUUGAGUGCAGUUGAGGCAGGCGGAAUUCGUGGUGUAGCGGUGAAAUGCUUAGAUAUCACGAAGAACUCCGAUUGCGAAGGCAGCCUGCUAAGCUGCAACUGACAUUGAGGCUCGAAAGUGUGGGUAUCAAACAGGAUUAGAUACCCUGGUAGUCCACACGGUAAACGAUGAAUACUCGCUGUUUGCGAUAUACAGCAAGCGGCCAAGCGAAAGCGUUAAGUAUUCCACCUGGGGAGUACGCCGGCAACGGUGAAACUCAAAGGAAUUGACGGGGGCCCGCACAAGCGGAGGAACAUGUGGUUUAAUUCGAUGAUACGCGAGGAACCUUACCCGGGCUUAAAUUGCAGAUGAAUUACGGUGAAAGCCGUAAGCCGCAAGGCAUCUGUGAAGGUGCUGCAUGGUUGUCGUCAGCUCGUGCCGUGAGGUGUCGGCUUAAGUGCCAUAACGAGCGCAACCCUUGUUGUCAGUUACUAACAGGUUCCGCUGAGGACUCUGACAAGACUGCCAUCGUAAGAUGUGAGGAAGGUGGGGAUGACGUCAAAUCAGCACGGCCCUUACGUCCGGGGCUACACACGUGUUACAAUGGGGGGUACAGA
rnacentral:rRNA from 1 species